rnacentral:rRNA from 1 species
AGCGAACGCUGGCGGCAGGCCUAACACAUGCAAGUCGAACGGAUCCUUCGGGAUUAGUAGCGGACGGGUGAGUAACACGUGGGAACGUGCCCUUUGGUUCGGAACAACUCAGGGAAACUUGAGCUAAUACCGGAUGUGCCCUUCGGGGGAAAGAUUUAUCGCCAUUGGAGCGGCCCGCGUCUGAUUAGCUAGUUGGUGAGGUAACGGCCCACCAAGGCGACGAUCAGUAGCUGGUCUGAGAGGAUGAUCAGCCACACUGGGACUGAGACACGGCCCAGACUCCUACGGGAGGCAGCAGUGGGGAAUCUUGCGCAAUGGGCGAAAGCCUGACGCAGCCAUGCCGCGUGAAUGAUGAAGGUCUUAGGAUUGUAAAAUUCUUUCAGCGGGGACGAUAAUGACGGUACCCGCAGAAGAAGCGCCGGCUAACUUCGUG